rnacentral:rRNA from 1 species
CCUACGGGAGGCAGCAGUGGGGAAUAUUGCACAAUGGGGGAAACCCUGAUGCAGCGACGCCGCGUGAGUGAAGAAGUAUUUCGGUACGUAAAGCUCUAUCAGCAGGGAAGAAAAUGACGGUACCUGACUAAGAAGCCCCGGCUAACUAUGUGCCAGCAGCCGCGGUAAUACGUAGGGGGCAAGCGUUAUCCGGAUUUACUGGGUGUAAAGGGAGCGUAGACGGCAGCGCAAGUCUGGAGUGAAAUCCCAUGGCUUAACCAUGGAACUGCUUUGGAAACUGUGCAGCUAGAGUGCAGGAGAGGUAAGCGGAAUUCCUAGUGUAGCGGUGAAAUGCGUAGAUAUUAGGAGGAACACCAGUGGCGAAGGCGGCUUACUGGACUGUAACUGACGUUGAGGCUCGAAAGCGUGGGGAGCAAACAGGAUUAGAUACCCCUGUAGUC